CCGGACUGUCCUGGGGCUCGGUGCAAAUAAACAAACUGAUGAAGGAGUGCGAGAGCAUGGAAAUGUACCCUAUUCACAGCACUGCAGUCUGCACAUCGCGCCACCAGCACAUGGGUGUGUUGGCUCUCUCCAUCUGACCGGACACUGCACAGACCCCGCGUGCUGAAAAAAACCUUUCGUGCUCUUACUCUUUGGCCCCUCCGCUCCCUUUGUAACCAGAGCAAAGGCUGAUGGGACGUCAGUGCUGUUUACCCUUACAGUGAACAGAGCCCUGAACUAUGGAAGGCCUCAAGGAGCAAAAGCCCUGUGAGACCAGUGUCCUGCCCCAGUCCAUCUGUCAGGAUACAGCUCACGUAACUAUAAGGCCUGGAGGAAGGAAGUCUGCUCUGCCAAUGGACUGGAACCUGCAAUCCAGUUGUGCGCGGCUGGACAGGGGCGUGAACCCACUGACCUGUGGCUGGAUUGGCUCUAAAGGCU